UUAAUUAAGAAUUAAUUAAUUAGUAGUUGCAGCACUUUCUUGAAUACCGUAGUCAUCUUGUAUACUGUGUGUAGGUAAAAGAAUUGCUAAGAACCUGCCAAUUUGAUGGUCUAAGCUUGGACCCUGUAAUAUUUCCAGAUGUGCUUCCCAUCAGCCAGGUGCCAUGAGUGUGUGUGAUAGCACUAGUAGAUUGAAUUCUGCAUUAUGCAGCUAUGAAAGAAAGAUCGAAUCACUUGAUAAAUGUAGGCAAUGAAGCAAUGUAUUAUUGCAUGUUAUAAAAUUAUAUUAAUAUUAUUGUAAUACCAGUGCAAUGUUGUGUUCACAUAUUGUCUGACUUUUCAUUUGUUAAAAUGCUCUCAUUUCCAGAGCAUGCACACUACACAAACCUUGUAACUUACCAAAUCAUAGGAAAUAAGUUUGUUGUUAUCUCAAUUUUCAUGUUUAAAAAUUUUUUCUUAUGUUCCAGAAUGUGUUGCUAAUGGAUAUGCUGCUGUGAUGGCUGUAUUUUGAAAAUUUCUCCACUCUUCAAUUCAGUUUGGAGAAAGUCAUGAGCCGGGUCUCGCCACUGCAUACCUGGCCCAGCUGUUAAACUCUUCAUUGCUGUUGUUAGCAGUAGUGUGUAACACUUCCUGCACUGCAUCACAGUUUCCUAUAAAUUUUCUUGGUUCACCGUUUAACUCGAAUUUUCUGCAAUCGUCAACAGCCGACCAGCCCCCGAUCUCUGCCGCGUCUACGCCCACGACCUCUGCCGCGUCUACGUCGUGGGGGUACCCUGGCCUGCGCGUCGGCCGGACACCCGGCAUACUCGUGGGUCAGGCCAAAGGGCGGAGGCCCUUGCCA
rnacentral:lncRNA from 1 species